rnacentral:tRNA from 2 species
GGAAGUGUGCCCGAACUGCAUCAAGGGUUACUUUGAUAGAGUAUUAUAUAUGGGUUAAAUCCCCAUCACUUUCU